AACGAACGCUGGCGGCGUGGAUAAGACAUGCAAGUCGAACGGAUUUACUCUUGUAGCAAUACAAGGGUGAGUCAGUGGCGCAAGGGUGCGUAACACGUGGGCAACCUGCCCUGGAGACUGGGAUAGCCCGCCGAAAGGCGGAUUAAUACCGGAUAUGGCUACCAAAGGAAUCUUUGGGACGCUAAAGGUGGCGCAAGCUACCGCUCUUGGAUGGGCCCGCGGCCUAUCAGCUAGUUGGUGAGGUUACGGCUCACCAAGGCGAUGACGGGUAGCUGGUCUGAGAGGACGACCAGCCACACUGGAACUGAGACACGGUCCAGACACCUACGGGUGGCAGCAGUCGAGAAUUUUUCUCAAUGGGGGAAACCCUGAAGGAGCGACGCCGCGUGGAGGAGUGAAGGUCUUCGGAUUGUAAAACUCCUGUCAUUGGUGAACAAGACAUUGCCGUUAACUGCGGUGGU
rnacentral:rRNA from 1 species